rnacentral:rRNA from 1 species
GGGAGGCAGCAGUGAGGAAUUUUGGACAAUGGGCGCAAGCCUGAUCCAGCCAUGCCGCGUGAGUGAAGAAGGCCUUCGGGUUGUAAAGCUCUUUCGGCCGGGACGAAAUCGCCUCUCCUAACAAGGGGGGUGGAUGACGGUACCGGAAGAAGAAGCACCGGCUAACUACGUGCCAGCAGCCGCGGUAAUACGUAGGGUGCAAGCGUUAAUCGGAAUUACUGGGCGUAAAGCGUGCGCAGGCGGUCUUGUAAGCCAGAUGUGAAAUCCCCGGGCUUAACCUGGGAACUGCAUUUGGGACUGCAAGGCUGGAGUGCGGCAGAGGGAGGUGGAAUUCCACAUGUAGCAGUGAAAUGCGUAGAUAUGUGGAGGAACACCGAUGGCGAAGGCAGCCUCCUGGGCCAGCACUGACGCUCAUGCACGAAAGCGUGGGGAGCAAACAGGAUUAGAUACCCCGGUAGC